ACUUCAUUUAAGUGUUGGCAGUGGAGGCAAGGGGAUCUUCCUGGAGAUCCUUGCUCACCUGAGGCCUUCUGAAGGAUGCAUAGCAUAAUCAACGCUCAAGGGAAAGCCAAGAGAACAGCUGGAGCCUUGCUCAGAGUGGGAGAGCUCGAUUCUGUGAAAGGUACACAACACACACUCUACAAUUCCAAAGGCCCGGAGAUUAGGAUGCCAAGAUUCACCGUGGGAGUAUGUUUUGCCAUUUGAAACACAAACUACAAAAGAAGAGAAAAAGAAGAAAAAAUACAACUGGAAAAGGUUGGCCUUGAUUCCAAAUCCCAUGAUGCCAGUGUCCAUCACUGUUUUGAGGACAAUGGAGAAGGUGGCUGAGUCGAGUAUUUGAGCACCUCGCUCCAGCACGUGCAUUUCAGUUGUGCAUCAUUAACCAGCUUAUAAAACUAACAACUCCUUCAGUACACAUGCAGGACAUAGCCUGCUAAAUUGGCUCUGGCUUCUGGUAUUGAAUUUGCAGUGGACAAAAUCAUGACAUUUGCUACAAGUUAUCUGCUCAACUAUUUCUGGCAUUAGCUGAAAGUGGCUUUUGCAGGGAGAGCCAUAUUAUCAACAGGAUGGAUUAGUGCCACCUGGACCUUUAAUACUGCACUUACAUGGGACUUCUGCUACACAACACAGAGCAAAAGCAAUGGAAUAUUACAGAAAGAAGUCUGAUGUCGUUUGUAGAGAUAUGAAUGUUAUAGGUAUAUAGGGACAUUUGGCCUUUGGAAUCACAAGAAAAUGUUAACUUGAAAGGAUGUCUGUGUGGCUGAAAUUUCAUUCCAAGAGCAUCUAAGCAUCUCAGAGUAUUUUUUUCAUCAGUGCCCCUGAGAGACAGAGAAAUACAGCUGGCAAAAGGAGAGUGGAAAAAUUCCUACCUUGUAGAAGCCAGUUUGGGUCACCCUGCAUUUAAUGGGGAUUAUAUCACUUUACACCAUGUUUGCAUUUGUCCUAUAAACCUUACUUCUUUCUUUUUAAAUAUUUUAUAAACACAAAGAAAAAUGCAAACUAAUCCUAACAAGGUGAAAGAAAGGGCAUCACCUGAAUUCUAAAUGCAACUAAAGUGAAGCUGGGGUAUGUUGCAAAUAUUUCCAAUUCUUCUAAUAUGCCAUCAUUUUUAUUAAUGUUUUCAUUUGUAAAAUAUGUUCCUAUUUUGCCUGUAACUUUCAAAAGCAAUUUAAUUUUUAUCUGUAAUCUGAAAUUUACAUCUAACUGGUAACAGAUGUGAUCAACUGGCUUAUACUUUACUGAGUUACUGAGGUUUAUGGUGAGUGUUCUUUGUAAUGUAUUGUCUUUCCUGGGGUUAUGUUAUCAUUUCGUUUAUAAUUUGCUACUUUUUAACUCCUUGAGACAUGGCUUUAUUUUAGAGGUGGAAAACAGUUUUGUUUCUCACAUGAAAGCAAAUAAUGUGUUUUCUGUAUACUGAAAACAUGAGCAAAAAAGGAUCUGUUUAGCACAGAGCAGUUUGGGGUAGCAGAUGAAGCCUCCAGUAGAAGCCAAAAUAUGGCAUAUAACUUCUAGCUCCCAGAUGCCCUGUUUUUAUAGUGUUCUUCACACUCAGAAUUAUAAAUCUGUAUCCAUACAACUACAUGAUAUUUGCAUGUCAGGAGAAUUGCUGUGUGUUUACUUUUUAGUUUGUUGUGUCUCAAGGGGCAUAUGCAUUAAUUAAUACAUUACUUGUUAAUUGGGGAAGAACAAUAGAAAGUACAUGGUCAGCAUUCUGGUUUCCACCAAGGGGAUCACUCAGACACUCUCCGGGCAGUGAAUAUCUGAAGUAGUGGCAGUUACAAUACUGCGCUCAGAAAUAUGCUAUUCAUCUGUAUGCUUUUUAUUUACUGAAACAAAUCAGUUAGAAAUUGCUUUGAUGAUGUCUUUAUGUGUGAAUUACACGUCAAAGAUACUGCACUGUGUGGAGAUUUCUGCUCCUAGAAUCAGCAUAAAACGCUGGCAUGAUCUGAAUGCUUUUUCAUGGUUGUUCAGGUGGAUAAUAAAGAUCCCAUGGCCAACAUUCCUUCUGUUAGUUAAUACCUUGAAAGAUUAGUUGGCCCUAAUACAUGGGCUUUUAACUCUUUGUGGGUAGUUUCUGAGUGCCUACUGACUGGCGUUUGUGGACAACUGCUUUUCUGAACAUUCACUUUCACAGCUAUUUAUUUUAUGGCUUCUUAGACCUGUUCCUGCAGACAUCAGCUGGCUUAUGUACACCCACUGGAGGAACUGAGCAUCCUGCCCUUUUGCUUGUACAGUACCCGCUGUCCCAUGAACUGGGCAACAGAUAUUUUCCCUCUGUUUUUGUCUGUCCUAUAAUGCAGUAGGAAUGCUGCAGUCAUGUUUGUAUAAGGUCUGCAAUAGGGGCUCGAAGCUGCUGCCCACAUCAUGUAAUAACUUGUAUUAUCAGAAGGCACUAAGGGAUUCAUUGCUUUGGUUAACUUUGCCUGGUCACAGCGCAGACAUCCAGUCUAGGCUAAUUAUCUGCUCUGCUUCUACUGUUAGACAUGGAGAAGGAAAAGGACCCCCCGCAUCUCAGACAACCAGCUGAAGGUGGGGGAAGUCAUGAUAUGUUCUUUCUUUGGAAUAAUUUGCUAAGCCUCCGAGGCAGAAAACUUCUAAUUCUACAGCAAAGUUUUAUGGCCUGGGGCCUGGGGCUUGUGGGACAGUUUAAAUAUAUGCAGUUUGCAGCUAGUAAAGUUACAAAAUAGGAGACGGUGUAAAGAACAUAACCGCAGUCUGUUUCCUACUGGACAAGUCACUAUGUGAACCAGUUAGCAAAUCUAAGGGCAUCGUAGUGUCCUUUGAGGCACUUAGUGCUCACUUUGCUGGUCACAGCAGCAUGUUUUCUGAAUUAUGGAGUGCAAUACCACAGAGUAAUUCAGAGAGCAACACGAUAAUGUUGUGCCCACGCAGACUGAAAUGCACUGUUGUAUUGGCAGGCACAACUGACCUCAGUUAAGAGCUUAUUUCAUAUCCUUACUAGUCUGUUGCUUUCACCCUCUGAUUUGCAUUGGGUCUCUUGAUACCAGUGUGAAUUUCCAAGAUUCUGCUGUAUAUUUUGAGAAGACUUUUUUGUAGGUGUUAAAUGGCUGACCCAGAGUAAUACCAUACGAAAUACUUGU